CCUACCCCUGGGGGCAUUGCAGGUGUGGCUGCUGCUGUGUCACAUGUGCAUCAGUAGAUGGCAGAGAGGAGAGAAAUUAUGUCUACAUUCAUUGUUGUGACCUAUGAACAUCUGAAUGAUUAGUAGCCAGCCUAA